AUUGAACGCUGGCGGCAUGCUUUACACAUGCAAGUCGAACGGUAACAGGCCUUCGGGUGCUGACGAGUGGCGAACGGGUGAGUAAUGCAUCGGAACGUACCCAGAGGUGGGGGAUAACGCAGCGAAAGCUGUGCUAAUACCGCAUGUGAUCUGAGGAUGAAAGCGGGGGACCGAGCAGCAAUGUUUGGCCUCGCGCCUUUGGAGCGGCCGAUGUCGGAUUAGCUAGUUGGUGGGGUAAAGGCCUACCAAGGCGACGAUCCGUAGCUGGUCUGAGAGGACGACCAGCCACACUGGGACUGAGACACGGCCCAGACUCCUACGGGAGGCAGCAGUGGGGAAUUGUGGACAAUGGGCGCAAGCCUGAUCCAGCAAUGCCGCGUGCGGGAAGAAGGCCUGCGGGUUGUAAACCGCUUUUGGCAGGAACGAAACGGUGUCCGCUAAUACCGGGCGCUAAUGACGGUACCUGCAGAAUAAGCACCGGCUAACUAC
rnacentral:rRNA from 1 species